rnacentral:tRNA from 1 species
GCGUAAUUGGUUUAGUGGUAAAAUUCUCCGUUGCCAUUUGUACAACAUCAUCGGGGAGCCCUGGGUUCGAUUCCCAGAUUACGCA